rnacentral:lncRNA from 1 species
AAGUAUAAUAUGACGUACAAUGAGGGGGUAACACUAACCAAUAUCCAUCCUUCCUCCUUCCUAAUACAGUGCUGAUCUGAUUCCGGAGCUCACAUCAUCCCAUAGACAGAAGUGGAUCCUGAUUGGUCUGAGCCAUGAGGGGAUAGCAUUCUCCUGGCUCUUAUUGGGUGAUGGUGAUCUUGCUGGUCCCAGAACCCACUUUGAGACCUUCUUCCCUUGCCGGAGAGAAGCAGACCCCUUGCUGAGCGUGGAGCCUCAAGCAGAGCUUGAUCUCCGGACCCUGAGAUCAUGACCUGAGCCGAAAUCAAGAGUUGUAAGCUUAACUGAUUGAGCUGUCCAGGUGCCCCCACAUUCUCUUUAUUAAGUUUGUAAUUUUAAUUCCAGUAUAAUUAACAUACAGUGUUGUAUUAGUUUCAGGUGUACACUAGAGUGAUUUAACAAUUCUGUAC